AAUUGAUGCUCUUGGUUUCUAGGUCUUUCUGUCACUGGGCUCCAAUAUCACCUUGCAGCUAGUGACUGUGAUGCUCCUCAGUGGAAAUGUCUAUGGAAUGCCAACCAUUCUUCAUGAAGCAAAAUCUGCUGUGCUUCCAGUCCCUGAAGAAGCAGCCAAUUCUCAGGUUGGAUUUGAAUCCACUGCUUUUCAACUCACGGAUAUCACUGCUGGCACAAGCCAAGUUAUGAUUUCUAGGACAGGAACAUAUGAUGCUCUCUCAGUGACCUGGACCACAGGAUAUGCUCCUGGGUUAGAAAUCCCUGAGUUCAUCACUGUUGGUAACAUGACCCCAAUACUGGGGAGCCUGUCAUUUUCCCAUGGUGAACAAAGGAAAGGAGUUUUGCUGU
rnacentral:lncRNA from 1 species